ACCUAAUCCGGGUCUCUACCAGACUCCAGGAGGCCACGACGCCUCCCCUCUUUGCCGCCGCCGCCUCCUCCUCCUCUCUUUUCCCUCGUUCUCCAGCCGCCGCCGCUGCCUCCGAUCCUUCCUCCUCGGCUCUACCCACCCCAUCCUCUGUCCUCUCUUCACUCCUCCUCCUCUCACAGGCCCUGCCGCCGCACACCGCUGCUCCCCGUUGGCGGUGAAGGCCCUGCAGAUCCAGCCGGGAGGAGGCAGGUGACUCGAGCAGGGCUGGUCACCGCCGUGCGCCCGCUCCGUCGUCACGGGUUGUCGCCAUGCUCCCCUCCUCUGCACGUCAUCGCCUGAAGGUCACCGUUGCCGCCGCCGAUUUACUCCCCAUUCCCCUCCACCAUCGGGUGUCCAUUGUGUCUGUCUCCAGGGAUCCAACUAUGGCCAUCGCUUUGUUUCCUUCCUUUUCUGAUCAUCUCGUCCACAACGGUGGCCGCGGUGCGGACAAUCGGUGGAAAGUAGGUAGGGAAGGCCCGACAGUGGUGCCACGCGGGAUGAAGCAACGGCGGCACAGGAGCUUCCCGGGGCAGUUCAUCUUCCUCUCCUUUGUCCUCCCCCAUUCCCCUCCUAGAUACUCGUUGAUUAAGAGGUACAAGUGGGUGGCCAGCUGCAAUUUCUAGAUGGAAGACAUCUGGUUAAGAUUUUCCUUGGGUUCUUGAUUCCAUUUUCUCAAUGGUUAUUACUUAUAUGUAAUUAGUACGUAGAAUAACAAUUUUUGUAUACCAUGUUUGUGGCUGAAUGCAUUGAGUUGCUGGAAUUGUUGUAUUAGAUCACAUGCAUUAUUCAGUGCACUCUUGAUUGUCUUACCAAUGGUCCAAAUAAAUACACAACCAGUGAAAUUGACCGUGGUUUUGAUUUACUUUUCUUACAAUAGAGUAAAUUUCAUUAUUUUUCAGUUUGGACAUACUUCUAUCGGUUUGCUUCUAAUUGCAGCUUAAUCUGUAACUUGUGUAACUUGUAGGCUUUGCACUAUAGAGCAGUUGGUGGUAGGAAGGACAGAGGACGCGAAGAACUCAUGGUUAGGUGUACGGCGAGAGGAGGAGGAGGAAGCACUUCUCUGACAAGAUCCAUAGCUCCCCACCUCUGUAUUUCCAAUGUAUAUAUCUCAGAUCGGCGUGUCACGGGAGCGGAUACGGCGGCAGACACAAGCAGAGCAAAGCGAAGCCGGCGCGACGGCCAGGCCUUCCAAGCACACAGCCACUGCCUCCUCGCCAAGAUACGCUAGCCUGCAUCUACAAGAUUUUCAUGCUGUGGUGUUAUUGCAAUCCAGGAAAAAAAAGGAACUUGCCCGUAUGGUGUUCACUAAAAAGAAGAAUCUGCUAAAAGAUUGGAUGUGGGCUAUACGUGGACAUGAACUUGUUCCUGGGAUUCAGAAGGGAGGACGUGCCAUGGAACUUCGAGAAGACGGAGAACCAUGUGUACCUCCAUGUCGUGCUUUGGCAGAAGCCGGAUGCCGACGAGUCAGAACGCCUGCUGAAGAAGCCUCUCUGCUCACCAUUGGCGCUUUCCGUGGGAAGUGAUAGCAAUGGAAGCGGAGCUGUAGCUCUUCUGAAAAUUGCAAGGAUCUUUUCACAAAUCUAUUCAAGCCUUAAGACCAGAAGCAAGUUUAAUCUUCUCUUUGGAUUAACAUCUGGCUGACCCUACAAUUAAAAUGGAACUAGCAAGGUUAUCAAUUUUUUUUACAGCGGCUUGAAGUUUUGACCAACAUGUGCGUGAUAUUAUUGACUAUGCAAUUUACUUAAGUAUCAUUAGUUCCUAGAGCAAUGAUCUCUGGAUGCAUGUAUCAAAGCCUCCAGAGAAGCCUUACAUCAAGCAAAUCUUUGAGGAUUUUUCGGAUGUCUCCAAGGAAAUGGGCAUUUCAGUCGCACAAGAUUAAUGUGUCAAAUUCUAGAAAUUUGUGUGCUAUAGUUGUAUCUACGAAUCGCAGACUACAUGCUGAACAAGCUUCAGAUUGAGGAGAGCUUGGUCCCCAAGAUGUGCCUAAAUUUGUACAGGGAAUAAGGAACUACAAUGGCCGGUCUGAAGCUUAUGGGCUACGAUUUCGACUACGAGGAAUUCCAUGCUAGCAUGCACGGUAAAUUGCCAUAUGAGAAGUUGAAGCCGGACCCUGUCCUGAGGAACCUUCUGCUUUCGAUGCCUCAAAAUCCCUCUGAUGUUUCUUGCUACAUCGCAUCAGCGAGGGGUCUGUGACAGUUAAAUGCUUCAGUAGUUACAGUUUGUCGUUGUACUGUAGAUAUUCACCAACCCUGUCGUUGCACUGUAGAUAUUCACCAACUCUGACGAGGCUCACGUGGCCGCCCUCCUCUUGGUUAACUCUGACAUUCAUUGUGCCAUUUAUAUCAAAAUAUUGCAUGAGUUUUUGUUGGUUGUUCA